GACGAACCGAGCGAACGUUGUUCGGAAUCACUGGGCUUAAAGGGCGCGUAGGCGGGCUGUCAAGUCUGGGGUGAAAUCCCACGGCUCAACCGUGGAACUGCCUUAGAUACUUACGGCCUCGAGGGAGAUAGGGGCGAGCGGAACUGUGAGUGGAGCGGUGAAAUGCGUUGAUAUUCACAGGAACUCCGGUGGCGAAGGCGGCUCGCUGGAUCUUUUCUGACGCUGAGGCGCGAAAGCUAGGGGGAGCAAACGGGG
rnacentral:rRNA from 1 species